CUGCAGAUUCAUAUUGACACAAUGAGUUUCAAGUGACUACGACACAUUUUUUUCUGCAUCUCAAUUUCUUAACUGUAAAAAUAGGGAAUAUAUGUACCAUGCUUACCAUCCUGAGCUUGGGAAGGAGUUGAAUAUAUAAACAUAUUUUAAGCCAAGAUGUUAAAAGACCCUUAAGUAGAAACAAUGCUCCUCAUCGCUGGUUUUUCCAAGCACCAGUUUCUUGUUCUGCCCUUAAUACACAAACACUCAGGUUAAAUAAAUUCAUCUAUCUGAUAAAUUUGAAACAAGGAAGAGGGCAGGCAUAGCUAGCUCCUCUCUUCCCCUUCCUUUUAAGAAAGUUCAUGUCUGGUUUUUCUCGCGGGUUACAGGAGCAAGUUUCCACACGGGAAGCCGAGCGUCUGUCUGGACUGCUGUGACUUAUGACUUCUGUACUCAUGUGUAACAUGAACUACGUUGGAAAAAAGCAAGGAUUAAGAUUAUUAACUCUUCAAUGCAAAGACUGUGUUUCUUCAUGAUAUAAGUUUCUACAGGCUGCCUGCAGGACUAAAAAUGUCACUGAUGCAUAUAGCAAUGGCACUGAAGAAGAGGAUGUAAAUUAUAUUUCAUAUUUAUAGGUAUUCUUCUCUGCCAGAUGACUAUAAUUGCAAAGUCGGGUUUGAUAUGACGUCUGAUGGAAGGAUGAUUGUAUACUACCACCCUUCUGUGAACAUUCCAUAUGAACAUACAAACGUACCCCUUGACUAGAUCCUGUGCAUGAUAAUGAAGAAACAUAUGAUCUAGGGCUGAAAACCAGCAUAACAGUUCUGGUUCGGGAGGAUCAGGAAGCUCUGAGGAAGGUUUACAGGCCCUUUCAGCUGUGGCAGCAAACCUCACCCUGACAAGUUUACUGGAGCAGUAUCACCUGGUAUUGAAGCAAUUUACCAGAGAAUCUCUCGAAGCCUCAUCAAUGUUGAUUAUUAUCAGGAGGGCUAAGGUCUCUUGUGCUCCCUCUAGUGGAGAAGCGGUUCAGCCUAAAGGGAGGCUUAUGGGCAGACCUAUAUAG
rnacentral:lncRNA from 13 species